AUGUUUAGGAGCAAUAGGAGUAGUGAAGUUGAUCAACAGCCAUGGUUUCAAAAAGAACAAGAUCAUCGAGAAACAAGCAGGCUACGGAGGCAUCUGUAAAUGGAAGAGAACCAAAUGGAAGUGAAAGGGACCUGGAACCUGUUAGAGGCUUCUGGUGCUGCAGCUGAAGCUCAGAUUGGGACUGGGGCCCCAAAAGGAAUAAGUUCAAGCACCAAAGUCAAGGCUACAAAGAAGAAAACAUCAGCAGUCUGGAAACAUUUCACUGAAGUGCUUAUUGAAGAAAAGGUGGAUGCCAUAUCUGUCAUGAAGAAGGCAGCAGAAUGCAACUAUUGUGAUGAAGUUCUUUGUGCCCCAAGUAAUCAAGGUACCACGCGUCUUUGGAACCAUUUCUAUGCAUUUCAUGAUGAAAAAGGAGGGAAACCUAGCAUUAGAAAAAAAAAUGAAAGGGACUGAUUGGCAGUUUGAUGAGGAAAGUAGUAUGAGAAAAUACUAUCUUGCAGUUAUUAUGCAUGAGUAUCCAUUCAGUUUCUGUGAGCAUGAGUACACAAAUGCCUUUAUUAGAUCUUUGUGCCCAAUAUUUCCAUCAGUGUCCCGCAAGACUGCUAGGGCCAAGAUAAUUGACAUUUAUCACAAUGAAAAGAAGAAGCUUUUUGAAUAUUUUGCCUCUUUUAAGUGUCGCUUCAGCUGCACCAUGGAUGUAUGGACCUCAAACCAAAACAAGGGGUAUUUGUGUGUGACAUGCCAUUUUAUUGAUGAUGACUAGAAAGUGCAGAAAAGAAUCAUAAACUUUAUGCAUCUUGAGGGUAGGCACAGGAGUUAUUUGCAUUGACCUUAGAUAAUGCAGCUGCAAAUGAUGUUUGUGUGGACACGGUCAUUUUGGCUCUUAAGAAUCAGGGUUCUUUGCACUGUGGAGGCAAGUUCUUUCAUGUCCGCUGUGCUGCACAUAUCAUUAACCUAGUUGCUAAGGAUGGUGUGAACACAGUUGCAGCUGUUAUUGCAAUCGUUUGUGCAUUAGUCCUUAUUGUCAAGAGCUCACCUUUGCAACAAGAGUAUUUUCUGAAGCAUGCUGCUGAUCUGGAAAUAGCAGAAAGAGGUCUUUCUUUAGAUGUGUCUACUAGGUGGAAUUCAACCUACUUAAUGCUAGCUGAUGCUCUUCACUUUAAAAGGGUUUUGUCAAAGGCUUAUUCUACUAUAUCCUGAGAAAUAUAGUAAACAUGCUCUUCCACCAGAGGACUGGGAGAAUGCUGCUGUCUUUUGUGCAAGUGCUUAGAUAUCUUUUAUGAUGCCACAAAAGUUUUGUCUGGAUCUCGCUAUUCGACAGCGAACCUGUUUUUUUCAGAAUUCUGUGAAAUUAACCUCAAGCUCAUUGAGUGGACCCAAAGUAAGGAUAGUUUUGUUGUUUCUAUGGCAAAAUCUAUGAAGGAGAAAUUUGAUAAGUAUUGGGAGAUGAGCAAUGUUGCUCUAGCAGUUGCAUGUUUCUUAGAUCCUAGGUACAAGAUGAAGGUGGUUGAAUUUUAUUACAGUGAGAUGUCAAAUGCCAAUGGAUUUGGUGACAUGUAUGAAUUUAAAAAAUUGUCUAGAAGCUUUAUGAUUCUUAUGCCUCGAUGUAUGUUGCUCCUGAAACAAGGCAUGUACAAAGAACUCAAGCAAGAACUGCCAGAACUUCUCAAUGUUAUGUGGACACAAAUGAGGAGCCCAAGAGAAAAAAGGUUGAGCUCGUUUCUAAGGGACAAUACUGAAGUGGGCUAUGAGCUGUCUGACUAUGAGCGGUACUGCAGUGAUGCAUUGUUGAGUUGGAAAGAAAGUGAUCACUUUGACAUUUUGAGUUGGUGGAAGACCCAUGGAGUGAAGUAUCUUGUCCUUGCUCGAAUGGCAAGAGAUGUUUUGGCUAUUCCUGCAUCCACAGUAGCUUCUGAGUCUGUUUUAGUUCUGGAGGAAAAAUAGUUCACAAAUACCGUAGCCGAUUGAACUCUAAAGUUGUUGAGGCACUUGUUUGCACAAAGGAUUGGAUAAAAGCGUCAAGGCAAGAUCAAAGUGGUGUAUCUUCAAUUCAUGAAGAUUUAGGUUAUGGUAGUACAAAUGGCAGAGUUGAAGAUGAUGAAGGUGCUCUUGCUGAUGCUAAAGACAACAUUAUGGAUAUGGAAGAGGAAGAGGAAGACAAUAAGGAUUACUCUUAGCUUUGCUUCAGGCUAGCAGAGGUGGCUUACUGCUUGUUGUUCGCCUGUUCUCCUGCCUGCUGUUGGGAUUGCUACUGCCUGUGCCUACUGCUGAAAAUGUUUUGCUUAAUUUAUGAGUGCACUUCUAUGAGCUCAGUGUCAUGUAUUCUGAUUUGCAAGCUCAAUGUCAUGUGCUUGAUUAGGAACUUAGUGUCACGUACUGUUUGGGACUUGCGAGUAUUGUAAUGUUGAUGACUAUCCUUGCUAUUUGCAUUUACCUCAUUUGAUCUAGAUCUGUAUCAAAUGUUAUCCCCUAUGAUUUUUUAUCACUUCGAUGAUCUUGUCAU